rnacentral:piRNA from 2 species
UUGCAACCUCAAGCUCACAGGUGAUGGGAAU